rnacentral:rRNA from 1 species
GAUGAACGCUGGCGGCGUGCCUAAUACAUGCAAGUCGAGCGAACGGACGAGAAGCUUGCUUCUCUGAUGUUAGCGGCGGACGGGUGAGUAACACGUGGAUAACCUACCUAUCAUACUGGGAUAACUUCGGGACACCGGAGCUAAUACCGGAUGAUAUAUUGAACCGCAUGGUUCCAAACUGAAAGACGGUCUUGCUGUCACUUAUAGAUGGAUCCGCGCUGCAUUAGCUAGUUGGUAAGGUAACGGCUUACCAAGGCAACGAUGCAUAGCCGACCUGAGAGGGUGAUCGGCCACACUGGAACUGAGACACGGUCCAGACUCCUACGGGAGGCAGCAGUAGGGAAUCUUCCGCAAUGGGCGAAAGCAUGACGGAGCAACGCCGCGUGAGUGAUGAAGGUCUUCGGAUCGUAAAACUCUGUUAUUAGGGAAGAACAUAUGUGUAAGUAACUGUGCACAUCUUGACGGUACCUAAUCAGAAAGCCACUGCUAACUACGUG